GUCCACGCCGUAACGAUGGGUACUAGGCGUCGGGAGCGACCCUCCGGUGCCGUCGCUAACGCAGUAAGUACCCGCCUGGGAGUACGGUCGCAAGACUGAAACUCAAAGGAAUUGACGGGCCCGCACAAGCGGUGGAGCAUGUGGUUUAAUUCGAAGCAACGCGAAGAACCUUACCUGGGCUUGACAUGCACGGGAAAGCCGGUGGAAACAUCGGCCCCUCUUCGGAGCUCGUGCACAGGUGCUGCAUGGCUGUCGU
rnacentral:rRNA from 1 species